CCUUGGUUUCAUCAUAAGUUUCAUUUUCUACCUUUAAAUAGCCACUCUAGCUUUCAACUUUUUGCCUCAUUCUCUUCUAUUUAAAAUAUUAUUCUAAAUUUUGGUUUUUUGUAUUUUCUGUUCUUGAUAUGGCUGGUGGCACGAAACUAUUGGCUGUGGUGAUUGCUCUAUCUUGGCUAUCGAACAUGCAGCAACUCGUUCAGGGAAAGCCACAAGUGCCUUGUUUUUUCAUAUGGAGACUCAGUAGCUGAUCCUGGCAACAACAACAAGCUUCCCACAUUGGCUAAAGUCAACUACAAGCCAUAUGGUAUUGACUUCCCGGCUGGCCCAACAGGAAGGUUCUGCAAUGGCCGAAACAUCGUUGAUUUUCUUGCUGAACUUCUGGGAUUUGAAAACUACAUUCCAGCAUUUGCUUCUGCUAAUGGCACGGAAAUACUCCAAGGAGUGAACUAUGCAUCUGGUGCAGCAGGAAUUAGAAAAGAAAGUGGAAAGCAGCUGGGUGCACGUAUUAGCAUGGGGGAACAGUUGAAGAAUCACAGAACUACGGUGUCGCGCAUUAUCGACAUAUUUGGAAAGAAAAGCUUAGCCAAAAAUCAAUUAAACCAGUGCAUAUAUUCAGUUGGAAUGGGCAGCAAUGACUACAUCAACAAUUACUUCAUGCCUCAGUAUUAUACCACCAGUCAAAAAUACACCCUUGAGGAAUAUGCUGAUGUUCUUAUUAAACAAUACACUCGCCAAAUACUGAGGUUGCACCAGUACGGAGCAAGGAAGGUGGCCUUGGUUGGACUGGGACUAAUAGGCUGCACUCCAGAUGCAAUUAAGACCUAUGGCACAAAUGGGUCUGCAUGUGUGGAUAUAAUGAACAAUGCAUCCCAAAUUUUCAACGGAAAACUUGUUUCUCUUGUGGACGAGCUCAAUACCAAUCUCACUGACUCACAAUUUAUCUAUAUCAACAGUUAUGGAAUGGGCUCAGGGGACCUUACAUUAGCUGGGUUCAAGGUUUUGAAUGCUGGGUGCUGUGAAGCAGAUGAAGUUGGUCAGUGCAUUCCUGAUCUAACUCCAUGCCAGAAUAGGAGUGAAUAUGUGUUUUGGGACUCAUUUCAUCCUACUGAGGCCGGCAAUUUGAUCACUGCGAGCAGAACAUACACAGCUUCUGAACCUUCAGACACAUAUCCUAUGGAUAUGAGUCACUUAGCUGAGCUGCAAAUUAAUCCUCAAGUCAACGAGAUCUAGCUAAGUUAGAAGUAUUGCGAAUAAAAUUCAUAAGCGAAAAUUCUAUGCUGAUUCGGAGUAUAGAUCUUGGUCAUUUUAGCUUAUGAUCUAAUAAUGGGAAUAUAGAAUACCCUUGAGUAACUAGAAAAUCUCAUUCAGAUGAAAAAAAAAAAACAUCCUUAUCAUGAGCAAUGAAUCACGACAUUUGUCUCUAGCUAGAUAAGAUUGUAAUUGUAACGUAUCAUGUGUUGUUUUGGUUUGAUCUGGAACAAAAUUUUAUGUUUUACCCCAA